rnacentral:lncRNA from 1 species
CUAUAUCCUACUCUGUUGUUUUAUUUUAUUUUAUUUUUGGCCCUCAAUAUGACCAAGAUUUUUCAUUCUUGUCCUGUUUUCUAGGUACCUUCCCAUUUGUUAUUUCUCGCCAACCCCUGGGCCUCCACUACCUCUUAUAUAAGACUUCCUGCCUUUAUGGGCAUCAUCUUUCUGUGGUCCAUUACCAGGAAAGGGGCUUUGGGACUUCCACCUUCACUGCUUUCUCUUGCCUUCAAACCUCCUGCUUGUAAUCAUGCACUGGGCAGAGAAGACUUGACUUCAAGGAAGGUGGCUUAGCCCCUGGUCUAGGGAUGAGCAUAAGCCUAGUUCUGGACACUGUAAUAUAAGCGAGUAUCUUCUGAGGAAGAAUUUUCCUCUUUAAUAAGAUAGGGGUUACAUGAGGAAAAGUGCUCUUUGCAACAUAACCUCCUAUGUCCUGCCUUUCAAUCUGUGUCAAAUGGAACUGUGGUGCUUUCAACUAUGGCUGCUACCUUGAAACAGAAAGACCAAGAGACAUCAACACAGCAUCUUGACAUUGUUCAGUCCCAAAGUCAUCCAGCAGCUGCCUGCCUCUGGGUUUCUUAGUACACAAAACAAGUAGAUGAUUCUUUUUAUACACUAUUGCUGUUUUGUAAAACAUUAUUUAAGUAUCUAUUUGAAGUUUCUGGUAAUUCCAUAAAUUGAAACCAGCCAUCUGGGUUGUGUGAUAAUUUUUCUAGCAGUGUUCAGAUGAGUCAGUAAAGAUGUGAGGAAAGGGAAAGUUUGGGUUCAACAAGGACUGGGGUUCUAUUGGGUAAGUACAGUAAAGGGAGAAGGAAACAGGGAGUUGAGAGUGUUUGCAGAAAAGGUGAUUCUAACAAGAAUCAGGGAAUCUAAGCAAGAUAAAGAGGAAAGUCAAUAUGGAGAGGUCAAAUUAGGUCUUAAUGAGGUCAGGGAACUCUUGCAGAGGGCAUAUUGGAGUGAAUGGAUUGGGAAUGUAGGAGAGGGUGGUUAGACACUAGAAUGCUUGAAACUGGAAUAAGAAAUGGAGGCAUUACAGAUGAUGAGAAGUCAGAAAACCACUUUGGAGAUAGGGAGGUCAAAGCCCAGAGAGAUCAAGUUGACGUAAAACAGCAUGAAAACUUACACACACACACACACACACACACACACACAUGAUCUUAUUCAUAAGUUGAUAAUAUAUUUAAACAUUCUUAUGCUACCCUCCCCUACAUCCAUUUCCCCCUUUUCUGCCUGUUCUGUGCCCUGUGAGGCUGAUAUCUAUAAGCUGCAUCACUCAGGUACCCUGCUCCUGUGGCUGUGGUUGGGUUUGACCAAGGAAAGUUGAGGGGAAAUGAAAGUUGGAAUAUUUCUGUCCCUCCCCUAUCCCUUCCUGAAUGUGGUUCCAGCAGUGGCUGAGUACCAGGGCUACAGUUCCUGAUGGAGGUGAGCGUUCCUCUCUCAGAGCUCCAAGCCAUCUGCAGGCUCUAUAACACAUCGCCCUCAUCAUUGUGCCUUGCGGCCUAGAGUCAACAAUGGCUUCAUGUAGCCUUCAUUCCCCAUUUGUUCUCUUAACCUAGAUUAUAUCCCUCCAAAUAUUUUCUUAAUUUAACUUUCUUCAAUUAAACUUUUUGAGUGUGGUACAUAUUUUCUCCAGGACCCAGGCUAUUUCAGUCAAUUUCACAAAUUGACUGUGAAAAAGUUUACACAAUUUAAUAUACAAAAUAGUCAACAAUAGAGGAAAGUAUCUUAAGGAAAGUGACAAAUGUUUUGCUACCUAAUAUAAACUAAUGAGAUAGUAAAUAAUAUUUUGGAUUAUAAUUGAACUGUGGAGUUUUAGAAUUAGAAUUAUCUUUGACAAUUAAAACCCAAUCUAAAUGCUUCAUAUUUUAACUGUUUUUUUUCAGUACAGAGAGGUUAAAUGGAAAAUUUUGAAUCAUGUAGACAAUACUGUUUUAAUUUUCUCAGAUGAGCUUUGUGAAAUGUGAAACCUCACAACCUUCUCAUUCCCAACCUAAUUUUAUCUGGCAAAAUAAACUGUAUUAUUUUUAAAGUAGAACUUACAAAAUCCAAAAUUUUACUCAGGGAAGAUACGCUGAAACUGCUGAUCUUUUAACUUAUCCUAAUUUCUACAUCAAUUGCUUCUUUCCUUUGAGAUAUUUCUGGAACUCCUAGAUUCAUAUUUAAAGAUCAUCUAAAAAUUUCUUUAAUUUACCAUUUUACAAAAAUAACACUGAUUACAGACAAUUUUAUAACAGUAAUGCAAUAUUACCCAGAGGCCCAUGGAAAGACAUAGUUACAUGUGAUCCUAUGCAGCUACUCAAGGUUGUUAUAUCUCCACAGCAGAUACCUCUAUAAAGAUGAAGCUCUGAUAGGAAUAUUCACUUAUAUUAGGAGACAGAAGAAUAAGUACCACAUGCCUUAUCUUUUCUAUUUGUACAAGCAGCAGAGAAUAUUUAAUGACAAACAUUCUUAUUUCCAUUUGUCACACAAUGGUUUUAACAAUGUAUUAUCAUCAGCUCAUAUACCAAGAGGUUGCCAUUGAUGUUAUGUGUCAGGAAGAUGCUUUUCUGAUGACCUUUAAAUACCACAAUCCCAAGUGAUGAUGCAGAAUGACUUUCUUUUAUCCCAAGACCUUCUUUAAAAAAUUCAAAUGCUUUGGGGUAUGUCAUUGGGCCAAUGAUGCAGUGUUACAUCUUUUGCAAGAUGUUAGAGGAAGGAAAGACUGUUAAACCUUGGAUGUCAAUUGUUACCUUUACUAAGGUAUUUUUACCUUAUCUAUUUGUAACAUUUUUCUUCUAAAGAGCACAAAGACUGUAUGAAAAAGCGUACAAAGACCUCCAAUAUUCCAAAUUAUUGAGAGAAGGUGGCAUUUUUUUUUCUUUUGGGUUGGGGUGCUGUGCACAAAUAUGAAAGUUGUUGAAAACAAAUCAUCCCCUAUGAUGAUCUCAAUGAGGAAAAAUUUUAAACUAGACUGUCCCAUCUGUCAGGUGCAACAUUUCGCAGAUGAAUCUGUGACACUCAUCAAACCACACUCAGAUCAGAUUCUGAUACUCCCAACACGUGACUUUGAUAUUGAGUCAACUGUCAGUACAUACAUGUCACUUGAGAGGGGUAUUUUUCCCACAUCAUUUGUGUAAGUCAUGGGAUAAUUAAAAAGGUCGAUUUCCUUUCUUCCAAAAUCCCUAUUUCCAUUAUUUCCCAGAAUUCUUCUCAGGGAAGAUACUGUGUGUAUUUGAAAAAGAUCCUUUGUUAAAUUAAGGUUGAGAGAAAACCCAAAAGGCAAACUAGAAACACUACAUGGUCUACAAAUGUAUUCUAAGAAGUGGAGAAGGCGUCUUAUAACUAAGUGGCAUUACAAUUGCUGAGCACUGUGUUCAGUGGGGCUCACAUAUACUGGAAUAGAUCAGAAUUUACCAACUCAAUAGGGAAGACUAUAAGCAUUUUCUAUGGUUUGAAUGGGUCCCCUCCAAUACUUAGAUGUUGCCAACGUUAUAGCCUUAAGAGGUAGGGCCUUUAAGAGGUGAUUAGACCAUGAGGGAGGAGCCCUCAUAAAUGUGAUUUAGGUCCUUGUGCAAAAGGCUUCAUGCAACACUCAGCCUGCUUGCUCACUGGCUUCCAUGUGAAGACACUUCGUUCCUACCCUCCAGAGGAUGCAACAUCAAGGCACCAUCUUAGGAGCAGAGAGCAGCCUUCAGUAAACCUGCUGGCACCUUGAUCUUGGAAUUUCCAACUUCUAGAACUGUAAGAAAAUAAAUUCCUUUAGUUUGUAAAUUACCCAGUCUAGGUAUUUUGUUAUAGCAGCACAAAACAGCUAAGAUAUUGUUUAAAUGAAAUGCAGGAGAUAAGAAGGGACUAUGAAAGACAGAUGUUUAAUGGGAUUUGUGAAGACCAUGAACAAUGUAAUGUAAAUAUCAUUGUAAUGUGCAAUGUAAACCCUCUCCUCUCCUAUGAAAUCAACAUAAUAUUUUAUACUACUUAAUCACAAUAUUGGUGUGAUUGAAUUAUCCAAGGGGAAUGUAAGGAAUAGUGGAUGCAAGGCAAAAGCAGAGAUAUUUCAACAUCUGAAAAAUUUUUAGAAAAAGAAAAGGGCUCACUUCUUCAGGAACUUUUUCUCUGCUUUUCUGUGCUAAGUAAGAAGUGUUUACUUUCUUUUAUUUUCAUGAUGGUAUAAG